UUCAUGUAUUAGUCUUUGUCUAUACAAUUGUACGAUGAAUUGACUUUUAUUGUUUAUAUGUUUGUUAAUUUAGGAAAAUGAAUCACCCUGAUAAUCAUGUGAAUGAUAAUGCUAAUCUGGAUGAGAUUGUUGAAAAUUAUAAUGCUCCGCUGUGGAAGUAUGUCAAAAAGCUCGAAAAAGUGGGAAAUAGAGGAGGAGGAAAUACUAAAUUUGAGUGCAAUUAUUGUCAAAAAACUUAUAAAGGAUCCUACUCUAGGGUCAAGUUUCAUUUGUUAAAAAUGUCUGGAAAUGGGAUCGCGCCUUGCAACAAGGUUACUUAUGAAACUCUUGCGGAAAUGAAUAAGUUAGUUCGAGAGUGUGAAUACAAGUUGAAGAGUUCUGCUCCUAAACAUGUUUCGUUGCCCAAUACUGGUUCAUUCUGUUAUGAUCUACCUGAAGCAAAUCUUGAUCCAAAGAAGAGAAAGGGAACAAGUGGGCCUAUCAGUAAAGCUUUUAACAAGGAGGCUCGAGAUCAAUGUGAUGCCGAAGUUGCAAGGAUGUUUUAUACAGGUGGCUUAUCAUUUAACCUUGCAAGAAAUCCGCACUAUCGGAACUCAUAUGUUCGUGCUUCUACACUUCCAGGGUAUGUCCCACCAGGUUACAACGCACUGAGAACUACUCUUCUGCAACAAGAGAAGAGUCACAUUGAGCGGUGCCUCCAACCAAUCAAGCGCACAUGGAGCACUAAAGGUGUAAGUGUUUGCAGUGAUGGGUGGACAGAUGCUCAAAGGAGACCACUUAUUAAUAUUAUGGCAGCUUGUGAAAGUGGGCCAAUGUUCUUGAGAGCAAUUAAUUGUGAAGGUGAAUACAAAGACAAGCAUUGUAUUGCCAACUUUCUUACAGAAGCUAUUAAAGAAAUUGGUCAUGAAAAUGUUGUUCAAGUGAUCACCGAUAAUGCUCCUGUUUGUAAAGCUGCUGGGUUACUUAUUGAGGCCCACUAUCCCCAUAUCUUUUGGACACCCUGUGUUGUUCACACUCUUAAUCUUGCUUUGAAGAGUAUAUGUACUCCGAAACAAACAGAAGUUUCCUAUGAUGACUGCAAUUGGAUUUCAACUAUUGCUAGUGAUGCUUGGUCCAUAAAAAAUUUUAUUAUGAACCAUAGCAUGAGAUUGUCAAUGUUUAAUGAACAUUGCAAACUAAAGUUACUUUCCAUUGCCGAAACAAGGUUUGUUUUCUCCACUUUUUUUUUUUUCUUUCCUUAUUUAAUUAUAAGUUGUCCUAAUUUUUAAAUUUUUCAGAUUUGCUUCCACACUUGUGAUGCUUAGAAGAUUGAAGGAAAUAAAGGAAGGUUUACAACAAAUGGUGAUUAGCCUGAAUUGGGCUUUGUACAAAGAAGAUGAUUUGGUUAAAGCAAUGAUGGUGAAGCAAAAGAUAUUGGAUGAAGAUUUUUGGGAGAAGAUUGAUUAUAUUCUUUUCUUUACAGCUCCAAUAUAUGAGGUUAUUAGAAUGGCUGACACAGAUAAACCUUGUCUUCACUUGGUGUAUGAGUGGUGGGAUGCUAUGAUUGAAAAGGUGAAAGCUGCUAUAUACAGGAAUGAGCGCAAGGCAUUACAUGAAAAAAGCAGCUUUUUUGAUGCGGUGUAUCGCAUUUUAUUGGAGCGAUGGACUAAAAGUAGCACACCACUUCAUUGUUUGGCACAUUCAUUAAAUCCAAGGUAUUAUAGUUCAGAAUGGCUCCAAGAAGACCCUAGUCGUCUUGCUCCACACCGAGAUGUUGAACUUACAAUUGAAAGGAAAAAGUGCUUUGAGAGAUACUUUUCCAAUGAGGAAAUUAGAAGAAAUAUCAAUGUGGAGUAUGCCUCUUUCUCUAUGUGCUUGAAUGACUUUGGAGCUAUUGAUUCUAUGAAUGAUAGAUUUCAUUUGGAACCAGUGAUGUGGUGGAUUGUCCAUGGAGCUUCUACACCUAGUCUCCAAUCCAUAGCGUUGAAGCUACUUGGACAACCUUGUUCCUCCUCUUGUUGUGAAAGAAAUUGGAGCACUUAUAGUUUUAUUCACUCUUUAAGAAGGAACAAGAUUACACCACAAAGAGCUGAGGAUUUGGUAUUUGUGCAUAAUAAUCUUCGUCUUUUAUCAAGGAAUAGCUCAACCUACAAGGAAGGUAUUACCCAAUUGUGGGAUGUUGGAGGAGAUGGCUUUGAAAACUUGGGUGAAGAAAGUGUCGGGAUGCUUGAAAUAGCUAACCUUUCACUUGAUGAACCGUCAUUGGAGACUACUUUAGUUACUGGAGGAGACAUCAUGAAUGUGGAAGUUGAAUGAGACUUUGCUUUUUUUAAUUUUCGUUUGGAUUUUCAUUUUAAUUUUUCAAGUUUGAAGACUAAUUGCUUGUUGGAUGGACUAUCUUUCUAACUGUUAGGAGUUUAUUGAAAUAAAUUUAAACUUGAGUAAUAAA